rnacentral:rRNA from 1 species
AAUCAACGCUGGCGGCGUGCCUAACACAUGCAAGUCGAGCGAGAAAGGGGCUUCGGCCCUGAGUAAAGCGGCGCACGGGUGAGUAACACGUGGGUAAUCUGCCCUAGAGUGGGGAAUAACACCGGGAAACCGGUGCUAAUACCGCAUACGAUCACGAUGUCUUCGGAUGUUGUGAUGAAAGGAGCAAUUCGCUCUUGGAGGGGCCCGCGGCUGAUUAGCUAGUUGGUGAGGUAAUGGCUCACCAAGGCAACGAUCAGUAGCCGGUCUGAGAGGACGGUCGGCCACACUGGAACUGAGACACGGUCCAGACUCCUACGGGAGGCAGCAGUGGGGAAUUUUUCGCAAUGGGGGCAACCCUGACGAAGCAACGCCGCGUGGAUGAUGAAGUCUCUUGGGACGUAAAAUCCUUUCGACGGGGACGAAACCGCAAGGUUGACGGUACCCGUAGAAGAAGCCCCGGCUAACUCCGUGCCAGCAGCCGCCGUAACAC